UACGAAGGGGGCUAGCGUUGCUCGGAAUCACUGGGCGUAAAGGGUGCGUAGGCGGGUCUUUAAGUCAGGGGUGAGAUCCUGGAGCUCAACUCCAGAACUGCCUUUGAUACUGAGGAUCUUGAGUCCGGGAGAGGUGAGUGGAACUGCGAGUGUAGAGGUGAAAUUCGUAGAUAUUCGCAAGAACACCAGUGGCGAAGGCGGCUCACUGGCCCGGUACUGACGCUGAGGCACGAAAGCGUGGGGAGCAAACAGG
rnacentral:rRNA from 1 species